AUACAUGCAAGUCGAACGCGUCUUGGUCAAUGAUUUUAGGUGCUUGCACUUGGAUGAUUUGACAUUGAGACGAGUGGCGAACUGGUGAGUAACACGUGGGUAACCUGCCCUUGAAGUAGAGGAUAACACUUGGAAACAGGUGCUAAUACUGCAUAACAACGAAAACCGCCUGGUUUUCGUUUGAAAGAUGGCUUCGGCUAUCGCUUUAGGAUGGACCCGCGGCGUAUUAGCUAGUUGGUGAGGUAACGGCUCACCAAGGCAAUGAUACGUAGCCGACCUGAGAGGGUAAUCGGCCACAUUGGGACUGAGACACGGCCCAAACUCCUACGGGAGGCAGCAGUAGGGAAUCUUCCACAAUGGACGAAAGUCUGAUGGAGCAACGCCGCGUGAGUGAUGAAGGGUUUCGGCUCGUAAAACUCUGUUGUUGGAGAAGAACGGGUGUCAGAGUAACUGUUGACAUCGUGACGGUAUCCAACCAGAAAGCCACGGCUAACUACGUGCCAGCAGCCGCGGUAAUACGUAGGUGGCAAGCGUUGUCCGGAUUUAUUGGGCGUAAAGCGAGCGCAGGCGGUUUUUUAGGUCUGAUGUGAAAGCCUUCGGCUUAACCGGAGAAGUGCAUCGGAAACCGGGAGACUUGAGUGCAGAAGAGGACAGUGGAACUCCAUGUGUAGCGGUGAAAUGCGUAGAUAUAUGGAAGAACACCAGUGGCGAAGGCGGCUGUCUGGUCUGCAACUGACGCUGAGGCUCGAAAGCAU
rnacentral:rRNA from 1 species